rnacentral:rRNA from 1 species
UACGUAGGUGGCAAGCGUUAUCCGGAUUUAUUGGGUGUAAAGGGCGUGUAGGCGGGAAUGCAAGUCAGAUGUGAAAACUCGGGGCUCAACCCUGAGCCUGCAUUUGAAACUGUAUUUCUUGAGUGCUGGAGAGGCAAUCGGAAUUCCGUGUGUAGCGGUGAAAUGCGUAGAUAUACGGAGGAACACCAGUGGCGAAGGCGGAUUGCUGGACAGUAACUGACGCUGAGGCGCGAAAGCGUGGGGAGCAAACAGG